rnacentral:rRNA from 1 species
AUUGAACGCUGGCGGCAGGCCUAACACAUGCCAGUCGAACGGUAACAGGAAGAAGCUUGCUUCUUUGCUGACGAGUGGCGGACGGGUGAGUAAUGUCUGGGAAACUGCCUGAUGGAGGGGGAUAACUACUGGAAACGGUAGCUAAUACCGCAUAACGUCGCAAGACCAAAGAGGGGGACCUUCGGGCCUCUUGCCAUCGGAUGUGCCCAGAUGGGAUUAGCUAGUAGGUGGGGUAACGGCUCACCUAGGCGACGAUCCCUAGCUGGUCUGAGAGGAUGACCAGCCACACUGGAACUGAGACACGGUCCAGACUCCUACGGGAGGCAGCAGUGGGGAAUAUUGCACAAUGGGCGCAAGCCUGAUGCAGCCAUGCCGCGUGUAUGAAGAAGGCCUUCGGGUUGUAAAGUACUUUCAGCGGGUAGGAAGGGAGUAAAGUUAAUACCUUUGCUCAUUGACGUUACCCGCAGAAGAAGCACCGGCUAACUCCGUG